rnacentral:rRNA from 1 species
GUGGAAAAGACACUAACGCGGAUUCCCCUAGUCACUGCGAGUGAAGCGGGAAAAGCUCGAAAUNUGAAAUCUGGCANUUCUUGUCUGUNCGAGUUGUCNUCUAGAGAAGUGUUNCCUGUGCGGGGAGGAGUACAAGUCUCCGAGAACGGAGCAUCAUAGAGGGUGAGAAUCCUNUCUGAGACACAGACUCCCUGUGCGUUCUGGUGCGCUCUCAAAGAGUCAAGUUCUUUGGGAAUGCAGCUCAAAAUGGGUAGUCAGUUCCAUCUAAAGCUAAAUAUUCGCGAGAGNCCGAUAGCGGACAAGAGCCGUGAGGGAAAGAUGAAAAGAACUCGGAAAGAGAGUUAAACAGUACGUGAAAUUGCUGAAAGGGAAACGCUUGAAGUCAGUGAAGUUGGCUAGAAAUCAGCUUCGCUCUUGCACGGUGUACUUUCUGGUCGACGGGUCAGCAUCAAUUUGGAUCAUCGGAUAAAGUCUUUGGGAAUGGGGCAUCUCAGGAUGUGUUAUAGCCCAUUUUCGUAUACGAUGGUUGGGAUUGAGGAACUCCCCCCGCCNCAAGCCCAGGUUUCGACCAUGUCACGGCUUAGGAUGCUGGCAUAAUGGCCUUAAUCGACC